ACGCACGCUGGCGGCGUGCUUAACCCCUGCAAGUCGAACGGAAAGGCCCUGCUUUUGUGGGGUGCUCGAGUGGCGAACGGGUGAGUAACACGUGAGUAACCUGCCCUUGACUUUGGGAUAACUUCAGGAAACUGGGGCUAAUACCGGAUAGGAGCUCCUGCUGCAUGGUGGGGGUUGGAAAGUUUCGGCGGUUGGGGACGGACUCGCGGCUUAUCAGCUUGUUGGUGGGGUAGUGGCUUACCAAGGCUUUGACGGGUAGCCGGCCUGAGAGGGUGACCGGCCACAUUGGGACUGAGAUACGGCCCAGACUCCUACGGGAGGCAGCAGUGGGGAAUAUUGCACAAUGGGCGGAAGCCUGAUGCAGCAACGCCGCGUGCGGGAUGACGGCCUUCGGGUUGUAAACCGCUUUCGCCUGUGACGAAGCGUGAGUGACGGUAAUGGGUAAAGAAGCACCGGCUAACUACGUG
rnacentral:rRNA from 1 species